rnacentral:rRNA from 1 species
CAAUAGCGUAUAUUAACGUUGUUGCAGUUAAAAAGCUCGUAGUUGGAUUCCUGGAGGGAGCGUCGGCCCGUAUUUACGAGUGCGUGACGUCUCUGUCCAUCCUUGCGGGAAGGCACGGCAUUGAUUUGUUGUGUCGGAUCGCAUCAUUUACUGUGAAAAAAUUAGAGUGUUCAAAGCAGGCUUUCGCUUGAAUACAUUAGCAUGGAAUAAUAAGAUAGGACUUUGGUGCUAUUUUGUUGGUUGAGCCUAAAGUAAUGAUUAAUAGGGAUAGUUGGGGGCACCUGUAUUGCGUUGUCAGAGGUGAAAUUCUUGGAUUUACGCAAGACAAACAGCUGCGAAAGCGUCUGCCAAGGAUGUUUUCAUUAA